rnacentral:lncRNA from 1 species
GAAAAAAAGGCGGAUGUUUUUAAAGACAAAACUAAAGGUGCAGCGAGCAAAAAAAAAGGAAGAUGUAACAAUAAUAUGCCAAAUUGUACCUCUAGUGCAAAAUGACGAAGAAGAAGAAAAAAAAAAAAACAGUCAUCUACUUCAUAUCAUUGACUGACGAUAUUCCUAACUAGUCAAUCAGAUCAUAAGGAUUAGAAUACAGCAUAUAUAAGUGAUUACAACCCAACUUUAAUAUGAAACCCAUUACUAGAUUAAAUUGCAAUCUGAGUUUGUAAUUUGUAAGUAGAGCAAGCAUAUAUAGAUGACGCAGGCUGCCUUAAUUUGACAAAAAUAUUUCUAAAAGACCCAUAUAUAUAACAUGGUCGCCAAGAUGUUCGACGCCAUUCACUCUAAAGUAAAAGAUGACCUUCGGAAAUAUUGCGAUAUGGCACAUUCUACCAACGGUGUCAACGGAUAUUGAUUCUUAAAAUUUCUAAAAAAAAUCUACUGUAAAAUCUUGAAUUACAAUCUUGAAAAUUUUAUACUUUAUAUUUGUAGUAAUAUCAAAACUUAUAUUUUUUUUACGCUUUUCACUUCUAUUCACCACGC